rnacentral:ncRNA from 1 species
UGCAGGGGAGCUUGUGGAGCAGGCUGAGAGGAAGGCGAGACCUUCGACCCGUUACCUGAUUUGGAUAAUGCCAACGUAGGGAGCAGAACAA